AUGAACGCUGGCGGCGUGCUUAACCCCUGCCAGUCGCACGGAAAGGCCUCUGCUUGCAGGGGUACUCGAGUGGCGAACGGGUGAGUAACACGUGGGUGAUCUGCCCUGCACUUCGGGAUAAGCCUGGGAAACUGGGUCUAAUACCGGAUAGGACAAUGGUUUGGAUGCUGUUGUGGAAAGUUUUUCGGUGUGGGAUGAGCUCGCGGCCUAUCAGCUUGUUGGUGGGGUAAUGGCCUACCAAGGCGUCGACGGGUAGCCGGCCUGAGAGGGUGUACGGCCACAUUGGGACUGAGAUACGGCCCAGACUCCUACGGGAGGCAGCAGUGGGGAAUAUUGCACAAUGGGCGCAAGCCUGAUGCAGCGACGCCGCGUGGGGGAUGACGGCCUUCGGGUUGUAAACUCCUUUCGCUAGGGACGAAGCGUUUUUGUGACGGUACCUGGAGAAGAAGCACCGGCUAACUACGUG
rnacentral:rRNA from 1 species